rnacentral:rRNA from 1 species
UACAGAGGUGCCGAGCGUUAGGCGGAAUCACUGGGCUUAAAGCGUGUGUAGGCGGACGCCUAAGUACCUUGUGAAAUCCCCCGGCUCAACCGGGGAACUGCUGGGUAUACUGACGGUCUUGAGUCACUCAGGGGCAGAUGGAACAGACGGUGGAGCGGUGAAAUGCGUAGAUAUCGUCUGGAACGCCAAAGGUGAAAACAGUCUGCUGGGGGUGAACUGACGCUGAGACACGAAAGCCAGGGGAGCAAACGGG